GUGAAACUGCGAAUGGCUCAUUAAAUCAGUUAUCGUUUAUUUGAUAGUACCUUACUACAUGGAUAACCGUGGUAAUUCUAGAGCUAAUACAUGCUAAAAACCUCGACUUCGGAAGGGGUGUAUUUAUUAGAUAAAAAACCAAUGCCCUUCGGGGCUCCUUGGUGAAUCAUAAUAACUUAACGAAUCGCAUGGCCUUGCGCCGGCGAUGGUUCAUUCAAAUUUCUGCCCUAUCAACUUUCGAUGGUAGGAUAGUGGCCUACCAUGGUAUCAACGGGUAACGGGGAAUUAGGGUUCGACUCCGGAGAGGGAGCCUGAGAAACGGCUACCACAUCCAAGGAAGGCAGCAGGCGCGCAAAUUACCCAAUCCCGACACGGGGAGGUAGUGACAAUAAAUACUGAUACAGGGCUCUUUUGGGUCUUGUAAUUGGAAUGAGUACAAUUUAAAUCCCUUAACGAGGAACAAUUGGAGGGCAAGUCUGGUGCCAGCAGCCGCGGUAAUUCCAGCUCCAAUAGCGUAUAUUAAAGUUGUUGCAGUUAAAAAAGCUCGUAGUUGAACCUUGGGCCUGGGCUGGCCGGUCCGCCUCACCGCGUGUACUGGUCCGGCCGGGCCCUUUCCUUCUGGGGAACCUMAUGCCCCUUCAYUGGAGCGUGUUGGGGAACCAGGACUUUUACUUUGAAAAAAUUAGAGUGUUCAAAGCAGGCCUUUGCUCGAAUACAUUAGCAUGGAAUAAUAGAAUAGGACGUGUGGUUCUAUUUUGUUGGUUUCUAGGACCGCCGUAAUGAUUAAUAGGGAUAGUCGGGGGCAUCAGUAUUCAAUCGUCAGAGUGAAAUUCUUGAAAUUGAUUGAAGACUAACUACUGCAAAAGCAUUUGACAAGGUUGUUCUCAUU
rnacentral:rRNA from 1 species